CCUACGGGAGGCAGCAGUGGGGAAUAUUGGACAAUGGGCGCAAGCCUGAUCCAGCAAUGCCGCGUGUGUGAAGAAGGCCUUCGGGUUGUAAAGCACUUUAGGCAGGGAAGAAAAAAUCGGCGAUAACAUCGCCGAUCUUGACGGUACCUGAGGAAUAAGCACCGGCUAACUCUGUGCCAGCAGCCGCGGUAAUACAGAGGGUGCAAGCGUUAAUCGGAUUUACUGGGCGUAAAGCGUGUGUAGGUGGUUAGAAAAGUCGAUUGUGAAAUCCCUGGGCUCAACCCGGGAACUGCUUUCGAGACUGUUUGACUAGAAUUCGGUAGAGGGAGGCGGAACUCCAGGUGUAGCGGUGAAAUGCGUAGAUAUCUGGAAGAACACCAAUGGCGAAGGCAACCUCCUGGGCCUGAAUUGACACUGAGACACGAAAGCGUGGGGAUCAAACAGGAUUAGAUACCCUGGUAGUCCACGCCGUAAACGAUGAGAACUUGACGUCGGUUUGCUCUGCGAAUCGGUGUCGUAGCUAACGCGAUAAGUUCUCCGCCUGGGGAAGUCGGCCGCAAGGUUGAAACUCAAANAGAGUAGACGCGNGAGACGNGACGACGGACGACGACGAGGGAGGAGG
rnacentral:rRNA from 1 species